rnacentral:tRNA from 1 species
GGGGCUGUGGAUCAGUGGAAGUGCAUCUGUUUCACAUGCAGGAGGUCCAAGGUUCAAUUCCCAGCAUCUCCA